UGCCAGCAGCCGCGGUAAUACGAAGGGACCUAGCGUAGUUCGGAAUUACUGGGCUUAAAGAGUACGUAGGUGGUUAAAAAAGUUGGUGGUGAAAUCCCAAGGCUUAACCCUGGAACUGCCAUCAAAACUUUUUAACUAGAGUAUGAUAGAGGUAAGUGGAAUUUCUAGUGUAGAGGUGAAAUUCGUAGAUAUUAGAAAGAACUCCGAUUGCGAAGGCAGCUUUCUGGAUCAUUACUGACACUGAGGUACGAAAGCAUGGGUAGCGAAGAGGAUUAGAUA
rnacentral:rRNA from 1 species